GACGAACGCUGGCGGCGUGCUUAACACAUGCAAGUCGAACGGAAAGGCCCUGCUUUUGUGGGGUGCUCGAGUGGCGAACGGGUGAGUAACACGUGAGUAACCUGCCCUUGACUUUGGGAUAACUUCAGGAAACUGGGGCUAAUACCGGAUAGGAGCUCCUGCUGCAUGGUGGGGGUUGGAAAGUUUCGGCGGUUGGGGAUGGACUCGCGGCUUAUCAGCUUGUUGGUGGGGUAGUGGCUUACCAAGGCUUUGACGGGUAGCCGGCCUGAGAGGGUGACCGGCCACAUUGGGACUGAGAGACGGCCCAGACUCCUACGGGAGGCAGCAGUGGGGAAUAUUGCACAAUGGGCGGAAGCCUGAUGCAGCAACGCCGCGUGCGGGAUGACGGCUUUCGGGUUGUAAACCGCUUUCGCCUGUGACGAAGCGUGAGUGACGGUAAUGGGUAAAGAAGCACCGGCUAACUACGUG
rnacentral:rRNA from 1 species